GUGAAUCAUCAAAUUUUUGAACGCAAAUUGCGCUCUCUGGCAUCCAGGGAAGUAUGCCUGUUUGAGGGUCAGUAUUACUAAAAAAUCGGUUUAGUUACCAAUGGUGACGUUUCCGGAGUUAGGGCUAUCUUAACAUUUUUGGUUAAGAGGCUCAAAAUUGACCUUUUUUGCGCAGUUUUAAACGUACAUAAAUUUUUUUUAUCUGUUUAUUCUUAAUGCCAAUAUUUUAUUAGA
rnacentral:misc_RNA from 1 species